UACGAAUGGGGCAAGCGUUGUUCGGAAUCACUGGGCUUAAAGCGUGCGCAGGCGGUCAUGAAAGUCAGGAGUGAAAUCCCGGGGCUUAACCUCGGAAUUGCUUUUGAAACUUCAUGACUAGAGACCGGGAGAGGUUAGGAGAAUUCCCAGGGUAGAGGUGAAAUUCGCAGAUAUUGGGAGGAAUACCAGUGGCGUAGGCGCCUAACUGGACCGGCACUGACGCUCAUGCACGAAAGCGUGGGGAGCAAACAGG
rnacentral:rRNA from 1 species